GGCAAAGAAAAGUGGCAAUGCCCUGGCUCAAACCGUCUGCGAGAUUAAAAAAUGCAGAAUGUAACUUAAAAAAGAAAAAAGAAAAGAAAGCAAAUCUGAGCUAAUUGCCGGCUGCAAUUUUAUAUCUGCUCUUAUUUUCGACAUGAAAAUAUGAAAUCAUUCAAUUAUUAUGACAUACGCAGAGAGAGAAAGAGAGAAAAGUCACAUCAGAUUUGCCUGGCCACAAAUUCAUUCAUUCUUUUAACGGAGAAGGGGAAAGAAAGAAAGGGGAAGAAAAAAAAGAUCGCAGUGGUCUAUGGAGUGGGACGAAUUAAAACCCUCCUUCUGGCGCCUGAAAUACCCGAACUUGCUCUUUGAAAUAAUCACUCGUUGAAUCCGUACCAGAUACGUGUGAAACAGCAAAGCAAAAGCACUUGUCCGGUGGUUACCGGGUAUUUCCCUGCCUCCUCCUUGUGUAUGUUUCCCCUCCUGUCUCUCCUUGUGUGUCCCCCUCUCGGAGGUCGUUGCCUCGAUGCCUUCCCUAAUAGGUAUCGCACCCGUAUGUUUUCUUCUUUGGACUUGCCGCCCUUAGAGGGGCUCUCCCUAUGUAUGUAACCCCAUUGCAUGGGUUCCUUUGUACCCAUAUUGUGUUAUCCCCCCACCCCGCAUGUUUAUCCCUGGUGCUAUAUGUUUCCCUGCUGCCUGCCCUUGUACCAUCCCUCCUUCCCCCCGGUGCUCUGCACCGCAUGUUUCCUUGCGGCUCCCCCUUGUACGUUGCCCCCUCGUCGCUAACUUCGCCCAACUUUGGCAAAUGCCGCCUCGCACUCUGUCUCCAGCCCAGGAGCAAACUUCUCCCGAAGGGCCGUUUCUCUCCUCGCGGGAUCGCUCAGCCCGGAGAGUCGCCGCGGGAUCCCUGUGCUAAACGGGGCGCUUUGGAGACGAGGCAGCCAAGGCAAAAAGGCUAGCGGGGUUUUCUCUUUCUCUCUCUCCCUCUCCCACCGAGGCGGGCUGGGCAGGGACUCUGGCCCGCCCAGGAUGGAAGGGGAGCUGCUGCCUUCUUCCCUCUCGCCUCCACCGUUCUCGUGAGCGCUGGGAACUGGCCCGGGCUUUUGGGCUCCGCGCUGGAGCUGCUGCUGCUGCUGCCAGCGGCAGCGGCGCUAAAAGCAGGGAAGCUCCCACCCGAGGCUGCAGCUCAUUAAGGGUCACAGAGAUGGCAGCGAUAAGACCUGCUGCAGCUUAGACAAUAGGAGCCUACAGCAGACGUCUGUCUGUCCAGACAACAGACCACCCCCACCCCAAAGCAGCCCAGCGUCACCGCUUUGAGAUGCAGAGCAAGUAGAAGAGGUAGAACUGUGCAAGUCCCUCAGACCUGCUUGUGUGAGAGAGGUACUGCAAUGUACUUUGGCACUUGAGCUGCUGAUGUUUAUGGUCACUAAGGUCUACGGACUACUGGGGCCAUUGUCCACAGGCGGCGCCUUACGCUUUUUGGACAUGUCGCAAGGAUGCCACAAGACGUUUCAGCGAACGCCGUUCUCCGGGUGGCUUGUAACAUCCAGAAUAAAAUUCCACCAAACGAGGAGUGGAGGCAGCCCAGAGGCAGACCCCUUAUUACAUGGGUUCAUCAAGUCUGUUCCGAUGUUGGACUGUCAGGCCGUCAAGCCUUUACAUUUGCGCAGGAACAGUCCAAAUGGCGAAGAUUGCUAUGGCCGACUAUCUUACUAAGUGUUGAAGAAAAAGAAUAAUAUAAUGACCUGUAUUGGAAUUUGGCCAGGAUACCAGGGCUAACAACCCUUUUGUGAAAGAUAAAUGCCAUUGGAUUAUUAAUACGGCCUUACCGAAUUCAUGGUCCAUUUUGGUCAAUUUCACUGU